rnacentral:snoRNA from 1 species
AGUGCCACAUAUGAGUCAGUAGGUGGCAGAAAGGAGAGGGGCUAAGUCCCCUCAAUGUUCUGACCUAUGGACACCUGAAUGAUUAGUAGCCCAAUAGU